rnacentral:rRNA from 1 species
UUGAACGCUGGCGGCAGGCCUAACACAUGCAAGUCGAGCGGUAGCACAGAGAGCUUGCUCUCGGGUGACGAGCGGCGGACGGGUGAGUAAUGUCUGGGAAACUGCCUGAUGGAGGGGGAUAACUACUGGAAACGGUAGCUAAUACCGCAUAAUGUCGCAAGACCAAAGUGGGGGACCUUCGGGCCUCAUGCCAUCAGAUGUGCCCAGAUGGGAUUAGCUAGUAGGUGGGGUAACGGCUCACCUAGGCGACGAUCCCUAGCUGGUCUGAGAGGAUGACCAGCCACACUGGAACUGAGACACGGUCCAGACUCCUACGGGAGGCAGCAGUGGGGAAUAUUGCACAAUGGGCGCAAGCCUGAUGCAGCCAUGCCGCGUGUGUGAAGAAGGCCUUCGGGUUGUAAAGCACUUUCAGCGGGGAGGAAGGCGGUGAGGUUAAUAACCUCAUCGAUUGACGUUACCCGCAGAAGAAGCACCGGCUAACUCCGUGCCAGCAGCCGCGGUAAUACGGAGGGUGCAAGCGUUAAUCGGAAUUACUGGGCGUAAAGCGCACGCAGGCGGUCUGUCAAGUCGGAUGUGAAAUCCCCGGGCUCAACCUGGGAACUGCAUUCGAAACUGGCAGGCUAGAGUCUUGUAGAGGGGGGUAGAAUUCCAGGUGUAGCGGUGAAAUGCGUAGAGAUCUGGAGGAAUACCGGUGGCGAAGGCGGCCCCCUGGACAAAGACUGACGCUCAAGUGCGAAAGAGUGGAGAGCAAACAGGUUGAGAUACCAUGGUAGUCCAGGCCGUAAACGAUGUCGAUUUGGAGGUUGUGCCCUUGAGGCGUGGCUUCCGGAGCUAACGCGUUAAAUCGACCGCCUGGGGAGUACGGCCGCAAGGUUAAAACUCAAAUGAAUUGACGGGGGCCCGCACAAGCGGUGGAGCAUGUGGUUUAAUUCGAUGCAACGCGAAGAACCUUACCUGGUCUUGACAUCCACAGAACUUUCCAGAGAUGGAUUGGUGCCUUCGGGAACUGUGAGACAGGUGCUGCAUGGCUGUCGUCAGCUCGUGUUGUGAAAUGUUGGGUUAAGUCCCGCAACGAGCGCAACCCUUAUCCUUUGUUGCCAGCGGUUAGGCCGGGAACUCAAAGGAGACUGCCAGUGAUAAACUGGAGGAAGGUGGGGAUGACGUCAAGUCAUCAUGGCCCUUACGACCAGGGCUACACACGUGCUACAAUGGCAUAUACAAAGAGAAGCGACCUCGCGAGAGCAAGCGGACCUCAUAAAGUAUGUCGUAGUCCGGAUUGGAGUCUGCAACUCGACUCCAUGAAGUCGGAAUCGCUAGUAAUCGUAGAUCAGAAUGCUACGGUGAAUACGUUCCCGGGCCUUGUACACACCGCCCGUCACACCAUGGGAGUGGGUUGCAAAAGAAGUAGGUAGCUUAACCUUCGGGAGGGCGCUUACCACUUUGUGAUUCAUGACUGGGGUG